AAAUUGAAGAGUUUGAUCAUGGCUCAGAUUGAACGCUGGCGGCAGGCCUAACACAUGCAAGUCGAACGGUAACAGGAAGCAGCUUGCUGCUUCGCUGACGAGUGGCGGACGGGUGAGUAAUGUCUGGGAAACUGCCUGAUGGAGGGGGAUAACUACUGGAAACGGUAGCUAAUACCGCAUAACGUCGCAAGACCAAAGAGGGGGACCUUCGGGCCUCUUGCCAUCGGAUGUGCCCAGAUGGGAUUAGCUAGUAGGUGGGGUAACGGCUCACCUAGGCGACGAUCCCUAGCUGGUCUGAGAGGAUGACCAGCCACACUGGAACUGAGACACGGUCCAGACUCCUACGGGAGGCAGCAGUGGGGAAUAUUGCACAAUGGGCGCAAGCCUGAUGCAGCCAUGCCGCGUGUAUGAAGAAGGCCUUCGGGUUGUAAAGUACUUUCAGCGGGGAGGAAGGGAGUAAAGUUAAUACCUUUGCUCAUUGACGUUACCC
rnacentral:rRNA from 1 species